AAUAUGGUACAAUGGGGGCAACCCUGAUCCAGCCAUGCCGCGUGUGUGAAGAAGGUCUUCGGAUUGUAAAGUCCUUUAAGUUGGGAGGAAAGGCAGUAAGUGAAUACCUUGCUGUGUUGACGUUACCAACAGAAUAAGCACCUGCUAACUCUGUGCCAGCAUCCGCGGUAAUACAGAGGGUGCAAGCGUUAAUCGGAAUUACUGGGCGUAAAGCGCGCGUAGGUGGUUCAGUAAGAUGGGUGUGAAAUCCACGGGCUUAACCUGGGAACUGCUUUCAUAACUGCUGAGCUAGAGUACGGUAGAGGGUAGUGGAAUUUCCUGUGUAGCGGUGAAAUGCGUAGAUAUAGGAAGGAACACCAGUGGCGAAGGCGACCACCUGGGCUAAUACUGACACUGAGGUGCGAAAGCGUGGGGAGCAAAC
rnacentral:rRNA from 1 species